CCUUCAGUAAGGAAGGAGACGCGGGGAAUCAAGCACAGAGGAGAUCCCGGGUUUAGAAGCCAGAUUCCUGCAGGAAAAGCAACCCCCUAGGCCAAAAACAAAGUGAACUUCAAGCUCCAGUGUCAUAGAUCUCCAAGUUGCCUGAACCAUCCGUGUAUACACUGCACUUAUCAACUUGUGAGCUUCUGAAGAGUACUGCCAGAGUCUGCUGCCAGCAAGAGCUCCCUGGGCCGGAUCAGAACAGAAAAAUCCCAGCAGUGAGGCAUGUGUAAAAUGAGAACUAUUUCAGUAUCAAGAUCAACAUUGUAAUAGAAUGGACAUGAGAACUGGAUUUAUCCUGACCCUACCAGAGUUGCGUGGACCAGAGGACCCUUAUUUCACUCACCAGA